rnacentral:lncRNA from 1 species
UUUUUCCCCAGGUUUCCAGGUCUUAAGUAAGGAAAUCACUACCAAGUCCCUUUCAAGGUCAAUUGUCGGUUGUUUGGCUUCUUCACUGACCAACUGAAGAAGAGGAUCAGUCCAGGAAGGAGUGUAAAAUGAGAUGAAGGGCGAAGCUGGACUGGAAUGAACACUUUAGUGAAAAGAAGAAAGGAAGUCAGAAAAUAGGGAAGGAGAAAGGGAGGAAAAGAAGGAGAAAGGAAGAGAGGGACGAGAUCACCUCCUUGGUUUUACACAGCUACAUAGAGCCAGGGGGAGAUAGAAGCCUGAUCCAGUACUCAGAGAAGCUGAGGAAGAAAAACAAAAAUGGAUGAAACACUGACAGUUGCAGACUUUUAUUUGAAGUUGUAAAAUCUAACGAAUAAAUACGAUGUCAGCAGAAUCUAUGAUUUCUUU